GCCGCUCGCUGGUUGAGAAUCGGUAAGUUCAACUGUUUUAUUGCUUACGCGUUUUUCUUGCCAUCUUAUUUAUUUUAUUUCCUUCAUUUCCCUCCCUCUCGCUGUGAGAUGCAUCGAGCUAGUUAAUUCUUGUUCUUUUUUCUAUCUUGCCCUUCUGAACUUCCCUGCACGCUGACACCCAUUGUUUCUGCCAUUUUUUGACUUGUUUCGACGAAUAUUGUGCUUGUUGAGUCACUUGUAUGUUCAAUCGAACACUUAAAUUUUUAUAUUAUUUUAAAUAUAUCAAAUAAUAAUUUACGAAUUUGAAAUUAAUAGAGUUUAUUUAAGCUUUAAUCUGAUAUUAAUGUAAGUUUACCAAAACUAUUAAUGGUGCUUGAGUCGGGUCGAGCUUUCCAGUAUCCCACUAAGUUGAUUUCGAGUAUAAUAAUUAUACUUAAUCAACAAUGAAGCUUGAUUCUGGUAUAGCAAUUUGAAAAUUUAGAAUUUGAAGAUGGGUCUGUGCCAGCAAAGGCUGCCUUUCAUUGUAUUUUAUUCCUUUCUUUGGUUUAACAAUUCCAUAAUUCUUCCCUAUGUAUUGUAUACUACAAGUAUGACGAUUAUUAGGGGCAUUCUAUUAUCUGGGAUUGGGCGACCAUUUAUCUUGACAAAUACAAAAGCAAAGAUCUGCACAAAAUAGUUAAAAAAUCUGAAGGGAUAUUUUGACACCAGCAUCAGGGCUUGUACUUCUGCACUUGAAUGCUUUUCUCUGUCUUGGAAUGCUAUAAUGUGAUUCAUCAUUUUGAUGUGUUGGACUUAUAUCUGGUCAUUAAUCCUCUUUUCUCAGCUUUUUGUUUUAAAUCUGUUGCAGGAAGAUUUGUCCCCGGUUGUUA
rnacentral:misc_RNA from 1 species